GGGAAACAGCUUAUGAUGGAUCUCAAAUCGAGUCUCCAGGUGAUAAACAUCAAAGCUUACAUGCAGCUUACCAAAUAUUUUCUGUUAAAUGAUAAUUGAUGUCAUAAUCAUGUAAGUUUUAUCUUGUGCAUUUAGAAAUCCCUGAGAUAGAAUCUAACGGUAAUGGACACAAACAACUACUGAAUGGAGGAGAAACAGGAUUUACAGGCUUGGAUCAUUUCAUGCCAGGCACAUCUCAGAUACAGGGAGCAGGUGGUUUUGAUUCAUUUGGCACAAGCCCUCAGCUGGAAAUUACAGGCAUAAUAGAUCAGUCAAGCCAUGACUUCCUUGUUGGCUUAAUGGGUGGAAUAGGAGAGACCUUUGGUCCAGACACUCAAACAGACGGGCUAGAUCACAUGGGACUCGCAUUUCAGGUGGAUUCAGAAGCUGCUGGUCUGAGUCCAGGGCACCCGUCCAGUGGCGGUCCAGUUCUAGACGCUCCUCCAGACUCUCCCGGACCGGAUUACCUGUUUGUUGACAAUGGGAACGGUGAUUAUACCCAUUCAAUCAGUAUGUCUGAUAAUGGAGCCCAAUCAAAACCACCAGCUGAUACAACAGAUUCAUCUGUAGUCUUUGACACAAUGUCACAUCUGGGUCAUUCCUUCAUAGACUAUUCAGGUAAGAUAACUAUUCUAGUAAAACUCUGCAAUAAGGCUUCAUUUGUUAAAGAAAUAGUUCACCCAACAAGUGAAAAAAAUCUGCAUGGACUCUCAUUUUGA
ensembl:lncRNA